ensembl:lncRNA
GUUACUAAGAUAAGCAAAUUAAUUUAAUGUGUGUGUGUGUGUGUUUGUUUUAAACCAUAGUAGUUGAAAGGGAUGAAGGAAGUGUUUGGGUGUUUGUGAGGGAAUGGCAUAGAGAAUUUCUUCUACCAGUAUAAAUUAUUCAGCAGUUAUAAUCUUAGAGCAUUUCCUUGGGCAUUGAAUGGGUUACACAGUGAAGAUAGAUCUGAUUCUAAGAUCAACCUCUGCAUUCUGUCAGGUUCCCUCUAAUAGAGUGAGUCACAAAAAAUUUUUUCAAGUAUACAUGUUAUUUAAAAAACAACAACACAUUAAUAUAAAAAACCUAGACAACUUCAAAAUGAUUUUGAAAGAAAUUAACUUCAUACUUUACAGGCUAUUCCUAAGAUCCAUGUGUUUGCUGUCAAUAUUGGUUGUAUCAUAAAAAUAUAUUUAAGUUCUCUAGGGAAACAUAAAUUUGGUAUCUGAUAUCACCAAUACUCACCAGGCUUCUCUUUUGACUAUUUCUUGGAUUUACUAAAUGUCUUUAACCACAUGUAAGUUUUGUGUAUUUGCACUUAAUUUAGUGUAACUUUUCCUCAGGCAUUUUUUUUUUGCUUCCAAACCACUACUUAGUCUCAUUAUUGGUUUAUAUGCAACAAAGUUUCUGUAAAGCCAACUCUUCACUUUAGAAAUAAAUAUGAGAGGGCAGCUAGGUGGGUGCAGUGGAGAGAGCAUCAGCCCUGAAGGCAGGAGGACCCGAGUCCAAAUAUGGUCUCAGACACAUAACACUUCCUAGCUGUGUGACCUGAGCAAGUCACUUAACUAACUCCAGUUAUCUCAGGAAAGAAAAAAGAUUUGAAUUUCUAAAUUUAUUAACUAUAGAGACCAGCCAAAACAAGUCUAAGUGCCAUUGGACAGUAAUUAAUGUGUCUUUAGAUCAAGAGGCAAAGAUACCAUCAGCUUUUUAAAGUCAGCCUGAAACAUUACUUUCUAUUUAGUAUGGCCCAGCUUAACACACCACAGAUUAUUAUAACACAUGUCAUCAUAAUAUCUUGUAACCAGUGAACUGGAUGAAACUGGGCUGGAUCACAUUUGGGGAAUCCACCAUUUUCAAAGAUGCUUAAUAAUUGCAUAUUGUGACUACAGGUGACCUGAAGAGGAUUUGUUAAGCUUAUACAUAGCCAAAUUAUGACGUGUACCAGGAAAGGCAAUGCACUGAUCAUGUGGCAAGAGUGAAAGGAAACAACUUCAGAGCUCAGAUGUUUGACUGGCAUGCACGAAACAUUUUAGAAGCUAGAGUUAAAAUUUCAUUGUAUUAAUUCUUUUUAAGAAAAGAACUGCAUAAAAUAAGGCAUAGAAUGCUUGUGAAGAUGGCAGAUUCCAUAUGGAUGAGAUCACAGCUUCAGUUAAUAAAUAAUAGCACUAAAUAAAUAACACUAUAAAAUAGUGUUAUAAUUUAUUUCCUUUUUUCUUGAUCAGUUAUAUUUAUCCACUUUCACUGUAGCAGCAAAUUACAAAGAAUCUAUAUGAUACCUGAAUGAAGGAAAACAUAAGACACUUUGUUGUUUCUUAAAACAGUGACAUGGACAUCUUCUGAAGAAGCCUUAAAAAAGAACCAGGCAAGAGAACAUAAUUUAAGGGCUUGACAAGUAUUUGUCAGACCAUGUUUGUUAGAACAAGAGCAUAAAUGAAGAUGUUAGCAUUUUAAUCCUUGAGACGAUGUCUUUAUAGGAGAAACAGCCAGCUGACUCCUGAUGCCCUUCUAAUUGCCCAGAGAUACCACUAUAGUCUUCAUCUUCACUAGAGGCAAGCAGAGAAUUAUACAAGGAAUCUUUCAUUUUAGUGGGGAAAUUAAGUGCAUUUUGUAAUUCUUAUACCACGUUAGAACAAGUGUAUUUUCUGUAAGACCUAGCUGUACUUAUAUAUAUAUAUAUACUCUUUGAAUUUUUCAUAUAUACCUUUGUACUGUUAAAGUAAGGAGAUUACCCAAGACAAUGGAAAAUUUAAAAUUGUAGCUAUGAUUUUGACAAAUUAAUAAGUUGCAUUUACUAGACUUUGAACUUACAUCAGGAAAAGCACUAACAUGAAUGUCAAACCAGUUUUAGAAAUCCGUUUUCAGUCAUUUCAGUCAUCUGAUUCUUUGUGACCCCAUUUGUUUUUUUUACCAGAGAUACUAUAGUGCAAUAUGCUUCCCCAGUUCAUCUUAUACUUGAGAAAACUGAGGAUGCAAACUCAGUCCCACAGCUAAUAAAUGCCUGAGGCCAGAUUUGAACUCAGGGAGGUGUGAGUUUUCCUGAUUUAAGUCCUGCAUUCUUGUUGCUCCUUAUUCAAUAGUUAUCGAUGGGCUACCGAGGUGACACAGUGGAUACAACACUGGUCCUGGAGCCAGGAAGAACCGAAUUCCAAUUUGACCUCAAGACACUUCAUACAUGUAAUAACCCCGAUUGCCUCACCAGAAGGAAAAAAAAGUUAAUGGUAUCCCCAGAUUCCCAAAAUACAUUACACCUCGAUAUUCCCUUGAACGCUAAAAAUUUUCACUUUAAAGAAGUGUUAUUUAGGAUAUAUAUGAAGAGCAGCUCUCUUUGCAUCAUUUUUUAAUCAUCUAUCAAAUCAUCUAUGAUAGAGCCAUCUAAGGGAAAAACAUUACUUAGUUAAGUCACUCUGCAGAUGACUUUUGAAACUAAAUGUCGUCCUAUUGCAUACAUCCCAGCUGACAUUAACUAGCACCCUUUUGUUUUACCCUGACUGGAUGGAAGCUAUAUAUAUGUGGGUAAAACCAAGGUAUGUCAACACCGAAUAAAUGGUAAGACUAUUUCAAAAAUACUUUUCAAAUUUUAAAUAACAAUAUUUUGGGUACAGAAAUUCUAGUCUUUUUAAGACUGUUUUGCACUACUAAUAACAAUGCACAUGAUCAAAAAACUGGUGUGUGGUAGCUUAGGAGAGGAGUUUUCACUUUAUUCAGUAAAUACAGCAUACCUCCUUUGUGGUAGGUAUUGAGAAGAAAGCACAAAUAAGAAACAAUCCCUCAGUUGAGACUAUGACAUUUUGAUUUACUUUCUCCAUUGUCUUAUUUGAUUGUGAACUUGUGAAACACGAAUGAGAUUUUACAAAUCUCAGAGAUCAUAUUUUUUCCUACAGGCACAAAGCUAAGAGGAAUCCAUAUCUUCUGUCUCCUAGAAUGUAGCUCAUAUAUGUAGAACAAUUUGUUACCUUUGUCUGAGUUUUUGUGUGACCCUGGCUACAUAAAUGUUUAUGAAAGAGAUACACAAACCAAACAUUUACUGAUGAUAAACUGUAAUUUUACAAUCCUCGUUUUCAAUGCACUUUCCCAUAUGGGGUUGUGAUCUACAGUUUAAGUGUGAUCUAGACCAAUUGAAUUAAACUCAAAAAGCAACACAUUAUAAUGUGAAUAUUUAAAGCUUUUCCAGUUUUUAUGCUUAAUUGUGCUAGCCAGAGAUGAAUGCAGAAUAGUAACAAUGAUAGUAAGGGCUUGGAUUUUUAUGAUCCUUGAAGGCUCCUUCAAGCAAUAUGGACUAUUCAGAGGGAUGGCCCUAAGUUCUAGUAUAUCAUAGUAUGAGCAACUGAAUAAAAAUGGUACAGUUCUAAAGAUUUAUUACCAUUGUUGGUAAAUUUAAAGUCACAAAUUCCCUUUUUACACAUGUGGCAAUUUCAAGUGCCCUGAAGAUGUGCAGCCUGAAAAGAUUUAAGUGGAGACACAAUAACUAUCAUUACAUAUAAAGUUUGAUAUGAAAGUUUUCUGACUAGUUCUUAACUGAUAGCUGAAAGAUGAUUGUUCAGUCUGCUUAAAAAUCUCUAGUGAAGGGAAAUCCAUCUCACUUUGCGUUAUCUCUAGUUUGUAGGGUUUUUUUUUUUCCCAAAAGCAAUCAUAAACUUGUUUCUUCAACUUUUAUUCACUAGUUUCCUGCCUUUUAAAAUGUUUUCCUAUAUCAUUAUAAGUUUUCUAGCCUCUAUGAGGAGUUAAGGACUGUGGUGGAUAGAGCAACAGCCCUAAACUCAUCUCUCGAGUUCAAAUCUGGCAUAAGACACCUGGGCAAAUCAUUUAACCCUGGUUGCCUCAGUUUCUCGUGGAGCCAAAGAAAAUGGCAAACCAUUCUCAUAUCUUUGCCAAGAAAACUCCAAAACUGGUUCAAAGAGACAGGCAUGACUAAUAAAACAACAAAAUCAUCUUAGGUUCCUUCAACUACUCUUCAUUUUGCAGGCUUUUCUUUUGUUUUUGCUGAGACAAUUGGGGUUGUGACUUGCCAAGGCUCACACAAUCAGGAAGUGUUAAGUAUCUGAGGCCACAUUUGAACUUGGGUCCUCCUGACUUUAGGGCUGGUGCUCUAUCCACUGUGCCACCUAGCUGCCCCUUAUUUUGCAGAAUCUGGAAGUCCUGAAUGAUCCUGGUUAUUCUGCUCUGGAGAUUCUCCAGCUUACCUAAAUCCUUUCUAAAGUGUGGUACUCCAAAUUCCCAAUUCUGACCAAGACAGACCACACCUAACCUAUCCUAUCCCUAUUCCUGAAUACUAUGCCUCAAUAAUUUCUAAAAUGGACAUAUCUUUUCUGGCUGCUAUUUCAGUUCCUGCUUUCCCAUUUGUGAGCUUGUUUACCACUGACCUUUUUCAUUUUUUCAGUUAAACUGCUUCUUAACCCCACCUCCAUCUUGUAUUUUAAACAUCAGUCUCCAUUAAUUUUUACCAUAUUCAGUUUAGUGCUAAGAUCUUUUUGAAUCUUGUCAUACAAAGUGUUAGCCCUCUUUACCAGCUUUGUGCGCCCUGGAAUGUUGAUGAGCAUGCCAACUCUGCCCUGAUAAAAGGCACUGAUAAGAUUGUAAUAGCAUAGAUUCCUGAGGAUUUUUUAAUCAGAGAUUAUGGAGAUCAUUCACUGGAUGCAUCAGACUACUUCCUAAUCCAUCUGUACUUUAAAGCCACAUAUUUCUCUUGUUGCAAAAAUAAAGUUGUCAAGAGCUUCACUAGAAUUUAGACAAGCUAUAUGAUGUUGCUGGUACCUCUGUAGGCUAAGUUUGGGAUUCCAGCAUUCUCUCUUCAAUAAUUUUAAUGUCCAAUGUAAAAAAAAAAUUCUGUCAUAAGCUUGUGUCUUUCAAGUUCUAAAGACAUCUAAUUCUACUAUGUACUAUUAUAAAUUCUAAGAAUGUCCUUGCUAGGGUUGCUUUAGAUGACUUCCAGCUUCAAAAAUAACCCGCCUUGGAAGAAUCCUAAUGUUUUCACUUUGUCCUCAAGUGGCAGUCCCUCUCACCACCUUUGCCCUUGACCCUUAUAGCUGCCCUUCUCUUGACCUUCUGUUGUUUCUUGAGAUGACCAGAAGCACUCAGCAUUUCAGGUAGGAGAUGCCCUGAGUUUAUACACCUGUAACAGAGAUAAUAUAUCAUAAUUUGACUAAUGAUAUGUGACAGCAGAGUUUUCAGAGUUCUCAAAUGCAGAUUCUGUAGUAUUCAGAAUAUUAUUACUAACCUUCAAAUAUCACCAUAGCCCUUCAUAUUUACAAAGAGAUGGCAGAGACAAAAUGCUCAAUGUAGUUUAUGUUUAGGGACAGUCUGAGACUUAUGCCACGUAUUUAAAUAUUUCUUAAUUAGGAAUUUAAAGAGAACCAAAUUGUGUAGGGAAAAAAAAAAGUUUUAUAUAUGUAUGUAUAUACAUAUAUACACACACACACAUUCAAUAAAAAUAAAAGACAAAAAGCUAGAGAUAUAGUUCCGUCUCCCAUCCCCAAUUUAAAAAAAAAUGAGUGCAGUGAAAAAAAAAAAAAAAAAGAACCAGAAUAGGGGUCAGCAGAUUGGGAUUCAAGUCCCAGCUUUGUUUUAUUGUGUGAUCUUGAACAAGUUAAUUCCCUGCAUUGAGCUUCUAGUCUCAUCUGUAAAAUGGGAAUAAUACCUACACUACCCACAUUUGGUGAUGAUUGCACUUUGUAAACAAAAAUACUAAACUAAUGUGAGCUAUUUUUAUGUGUUAAAUAAAAUAUACAAAACCUGCUUUCUACCCCUCCUUGAAACUUGACCUUUCUGUCACAGCAAUCAGCCAGAGUUAAAAGUCAGUUGUAAAAAUCUGUUUCAGCUUGGAAAAAUGCCAUGCUAAAUGUUUUACAAAAUUCUGGUUAUGUCAAAAAAAAUGUUUUUAAUAAAAUCCUUCAACCAUACACUUUGCAUAUAAUGCUCAAAAUCAAUUUAAUACAGUUUCAAAAACAUUUAGUAGAUUGCAAUGGUUUCUGCAAUUAAGUAUCAAAAUAAGUGUUUAAAUAGCCAAGAAAAAUAGAGAAAAGAUGCUCAUUGGCUUAUCCUAGGCAUCAUCUAAUGAUAGAUGUAAAAAGAGCUGCUAGAGUCAGUCCUGGUUGAGUGAAGCAAGAGUACUGACAUCCUGUCAAAAUCUGGGGACGUCAACAUGUAUUCUCACUAAGGAUCUGUGAGCACAGAAUGACUUGGAGUUUCAUAUCUGCAUUAUAAUGCAGAUAUUUUAAAUGGUCCAUCAUUUCCUUGGGGUAAGCAAGUGCUUACCUGAGACAGGUAAGAGACUCUGUCACAUAAUUACUGCACCCAUGUUUUAUCAACAAUCUGUCAGUAGAGGAUAUAAACCAAGUUAUUGGGUUAAUAUUUAUUCACUUUUAAUCCUUUGUAAGUGAAAAAUAUUAACAAGAUCCUCCUUACUUUGUGUUUAAGACACAUCUAACAUCUUGAACAAUAAUCAAAUGAUGAGCUACCUUCUACCUACUUCAUAAUUGACAUAUACAAAUGUAAAAAUCACACCUUAUAGCGUCAGUGGUGAAAUGAAUUCUCCAGACAUCAAGCUUUCAAUGUAGUUCUGUACCUCUGAAAGUAAGAUUGUGACUUACGGUAGAAAACAUGGCACUUAUCACAGCUCCUCAGUGGCUCAAUUUGUUCUUUCAAGUUAAAAUAACCCAUAUUUGAUUGUGAAAUUGCAAAUCUUCAGCAAUGUUUCCAAAUCAUAUUCACAGAUAACAGCAACUAUGGUGUCCAGAACAAAUUCAGUAAAGGGGA